GACGAACGCUGGCGGCGUGCUUAACACAUGCAAGUCGAACGGAAAGGCCCUGCUUUUGUGGGGUGCUCGAGUGGCGAACUGGUGAGUAACACGUGAGUAACCUGCCCUUGACUUUGGGAUAACUUCAGGAAACUGGGGCUAAUACCGGCUAGGAUCUCCUGCUGCAUGGUGGGGGUUGGAAAGUUUCGGCGGUUGGGGAUGGACUCGCGGCCUAUCAGCUUGUUGGUGGGGUAGUGGCUUACCAAGGCUUUGACGGGUAGCCGGCCUGAGAGGGUGACCGGCCACAUUGGGACUGAGAUACGGCCCAGACUCCUACGGGAGGCAGCAGUGGGGAAUAUUGCACAAUGGGCGGAAGCCUGAUGCAGCAACGCCGCGUGCGGGAUGACGGCCUUCGGGUUGUAAACCGCUUUCGCCUGUGACGAAGCGUGAGUGACGGUAAUGGGUAAAGAAGCACCGGCUAACUACGUG
rnacentral:rRNA from 1 species